GCCCUUCCCGGCCGCCCGCGCUGCCUGCCCCGCAUCGUUACCCGGGCCCAACGCCGGGCCAAAGUCCUAUCUCAGGGUUUCCCACGUCGCUCGCUCCUUGACGGCUGAGCGACACUGGGUCUGAGGUGUAAGCGCUUUCCAGGCCCUUCCCUGGGGCUUGGAGGGGAAUGGCGCAAAGGACUUUUCUGACAAGCAGAGGUUGGACUCCUGAAAGCCUGGACAGUGUCAUCAUCUUCACCUGAAGAGUGGAAAAAUUCAAGCAAAGAAUUUCUCAGGAAAUGACCAAGUAAAACAUCUGGAGUAAGUCAGCAGGAUUCAAAGUGACUCCCCCGAACCACCUGGUGGUGUUUCUCUCUGAAAGCAGCACUUGGUACCAGUGUGAACUCUCCUCCUUCAGAAGUCCCAUCAGGUGUUUCAGGUGGACGUAAUAUGAGGGUCUGGUCCCCCAUACCUUGAGGACUCUGCUGCCAUCUGACAAUUAGAGACAAUCCAAUUGUCCUCAUCCUUGAGGACUCUGCUGCCAUCUGACAAUUAGAGACAGUCCAAAACAUGCCACACUUUGAUCCUAAACACAUUCCUGGCUUUGGUCACUUUUGAAAAGUUCCUGAAUUAUGAGAAAUCAAUAAUAACAGUGUUCAAAACCUGAACACUCUUUUUAGAAAUACCUGCUGGAAUUACACAUACAAUUAAUGGGGUACUGUCUUGUAGUAUCUGGGAAAGUAGACCCAUCUAACCUGGAAUGAUCAUAGGCAACAAUGACCAAAAAUGGGGAUCUUUUGAUAUACCUAAAGUAAUUUAUUUGUGCACACCAUUGGAAAGAGCUGGUUUUAGAACCAGACAUGUAAAUAGGAGACUUACUUCCACUGGCACCUAAAAACUUCUAAAAGAAAUCCUGAAAGAAAAAAUCGCCUUCAUUCAAGAGGUAAACAAAGAGAUAUUUGAAACUAUUUUAAAAGACUUCAGAGGCUUUCUCCCUUUCACCUCCAGACCCUCCUUUUCCUUCCAGCCCUGUGAUCUGAACUCAUCCCUUUCUGCCUCUUCUCUUGGCUUCCAUACAUCUCUUAGGCAGAGAUGUUUUAAAAUUUCACAAUGUACACAUUUCCUUCUCUUGGGAAAUGAAUUUAAAUUUAGAGCAGAAGGAACAAGCAGAACAACAACAGAAUGGGAAUAAGACUGCUGAGACUAUAAAAAUGCAGAUCCAACAAAAUUUUUUCUAACCAGGUCUAGUGAAUGACACUGUGAUAUGGUCUGGCUCUGUGUUCCCAACCAAAUGUCAUCUCGAAUUGUAAUCCCCACGUGUCGGGGGAGAAGCCUGGUGGGAGGUGAUUGGAUCAUGGAAGCAGUUUCCCCCAUGCUGUUUUCAUGAUAGUGAGGGAGUUCUCAUGAGAUCUGAUGGUUUAAAAGUGUUUGGCAGUUCCCUUUCUGGCUUUCUCUCUCCUGCUGCCUUGUGAAGAAGGUGCUUCCUUCUCCUUCACCUUCCACCCUGAUUUUAAGUUUCCUGAGGCCUCCCCAGUCAUGCAGAACUGUGAGUCAAUUAAACCAAUUUUAUUUAUAAAUUAUCCAGUCUCAGGUAGUUCUUUGUAGCAGAGUGAGAAUGAACUAAUACACACUGAUUUAUUGACCCACUAUCAGACAGUACCCUUUAAAUCUUAUCAUGUCUUUAAAAUGCUAACAUUCAGGGAAUUAGCUAAGCAGCAUUACAGAUGAGAUCAGAUCUAAAACAAGAUAAAAUCCUUAAAUGCUUAAACUGCCUGCUUUGGAUUCCUUGCAAGAUUUACCAAAAAACAAACACACAAACAAAAAAACGAAAACAAAAACAAAGAAAACACCCCAUCCAGUGGUAUAAUGGCUAGGAUUUGGUACUUUCACCACGGUAGCCUGAGUUCAAUUCCUAGCCAGGGAGCUAAUCUCAUUUGUUUUAAAGUAUUGUAUGAUUCUUGACCUUUUGGGAUACCAAUUGUUAUUGAUCCUUAUCCCUUCCAUGGACAACUUUUGAUUUCCUGUCUUUUUCCAUUUGUGGGACAUACAGACCAUUUGGGCCUUCAUGAGUAACCAGCUGAGAAGCUGAGAUCCUAGAAAUCAUGACCAGAUAGAAAUGAAAUUCCUGGAAAAGGACCCUGACAAGUACUCUUGAAUACAGGUUUCUGAUAACUUUGGAGAUCAUAUCACUGGACUAAGUAACAACUUUCAGGAUAUAAUUGGAGACAUUUGUUAUUUUACUAAGGAUUUGACUGGAAUGACAUAUUUUCAGAUAUGACCAGACUGCUUUGAAGAAUGGAGGUUGACUGUACAGAGGCAAUUACAAAGCCUCUUGGAAAGACUGGCCUGGUCCCUUGUCUACAUAGUUCCCUUUCAAGAUUUCUGUCCUGUGUAAAGUAAAGAAUGUCACUUUCUGACAGGCCUGGGAACCUCAAAAUAUUUCCACUGUGUAUCUCUCAUUGUUUUAUUUCUUCUGAGAAAACUAAAUUCAUGGUACACUGAAGAGGUGAUUCCACAAGUGACGGCAGCUAUAAAUCAAUGACUGGUAGGACUACCUGGGAAUGAGCCUUUCUGGCAAUGAGGGAUACCUUGACACUCAGAUUUUGAUCAUCAGUGCUUUCAAAAAGAAAGAUUUUUGAUCACAAGGAAGAAAUGAGAAAAAGAACUUUUAUCUGAAGAAUGCAAGUCCUUUCCAAUUAUCAGGUCCAGAGAGGUAUUAAAAUGAGACUGCAAUCCUGUCCUACACACACCCCCUUUUGAGCCACGUACUCAUCUUUUUAUACUGCUUACUAUUGCCACAAGUAGCUGAAAAUUAGCCUACUGGUGCUGCACCAGACAUUAUAACCCACAUCCUAUAGCUUAAUAAUGGAUAGCCAAUCAAUAGCUUAUGUUAUGUUAAUGUAAAUUAUUGGUAAAUAACUCAGGAACUGCCUCUUCUUUCCUUUUAAAAAUCCACUUGUGGGCUGGGCGUGGUGGCUCAUGCCUGUAAUCCCAGCACUUUGGGAGGCCGAGGUGGGCGGAUCACAAGGUGAGGAGAUCGAGACCAUCCUGGAUAACACGGUGAAACCCUGUCUCUACUAAAAAUACAAAAAAUUAGCUGGGCAUGGUGGCGGGUGCCUGUAGUCCCAGCUACUCGGGAGGCUGAGGCAGGAGAAUGGUGUGAACCCAGGAGGCGGAGCUUGCAGUGAGCCGAGAUGGCACCACUGCACUCCAGCCCGGGCAACAGUGCGAGGCCCUGUCUCAAAAAAAAAGAAAAAAAAAAUCCACUUGUGGCUGGGUGUGGUGGCUCACACUUGUAAUCCCAGCACUUUGGGAGGCUGAGGCGGGCGGAUCACCUGAUGUCAGGAGUUUGAGACCAGCUUGCCCAAUGUGGUGAAACCCCAUCUCUACUAAAAAUACAACAAUUAGCCAGCUGUGGUGGUGGGUGCCUGUAAUCCCAGCUACUUGGGAGUCUGAGGCAGACUCAAGACUUCAAGAAUGUCUUGAACCCAGGAGGUGGAGGUUGCAGUGAGCCAAGAUCACACCAUUGCACUCCAGCAUUGGUGACAAGAGUGAAACUGCCUCCAAAAAAAAAAAAAAAAAAAUCCACUUGUAACUGCAGCUACUCAGAAUGUAUAUUCAGGGCACGUAGAAUCUAUGUUACUGAGUUGCAAUCCUCAAGCUUGUCCCAAAUAAACUCUCUACUUAUAUUAA